rnacentral:rRNA from 1 species
GACGAACGCUGGCGGCGUGCUUAACACAUGCAAGUCGAACGGAAGGGCCUGCUUUCCCUUGUGGAUUGCGGGUACUCGAGUGGCGAACGGGUGAGUAACACGUGAGUGAUCUGCCCCCAACUUGGGUAUAAGCCUGGGAAACUGGGUCUAAUUCCCGAUAGGACUGCAGGGUGGUGCCUGUGGUGGAAAACGAUUUUCUAGUGGUUGGGGAUGAGCUCGCGGCCUAUCAGCUUGUUGGUGGGGUAAUGGCCUACCAAGGCGGCGACGGGUAGCCGGCCUGAGAGGGUGGACGGCCACAUUGGGACUGAGAUACGGCCCAGACUCCUACGGGAGGCAGCAGUGGGGAAUAUUGCACAAUGGGCGGAAGCCUGAUGCAGCGACGCCGCGUGGGGGAUGACGGCCUUCGGGUUGUAAACUCCUUUCGACCGCGAGGAAGCCACCUGGCUGGAAGGGUGGUGACGGUAGUGGUAGAAGAAGCACCGGCUAACUACGUG